CCACAUGCGAGGAAGUUCAAGAGCUUCAAAACUCACACUGGAUUGAAGUUUCCAAGUAUCAAGCCUGAACAGAACAGUUUACAAAAUAGCUGUGAUGAGGAUGGUUACGAAACAUGGGGAAGAAUGUUAUGACUACUUCAGACAC